rnacentral:rRNA from 1 species
UACGAAGGGGGCUAGCGUUGUUCGGAAUUACUGGGCGUAAAGCGUGCGCAGGCGGUGAUGUAAGACAGAUGUGAAAUCCCCGGGCUCAACCUGGGAACUGCAUUUGUGACUGCAUCGCUGGAGUGCGGCAGAGGGGGAUGGAAUUCCGCGUGUAGCAGUGAAAUGCGCAGAUAUCAGGAAGAACACCCGUGGCGAAAGCGGCUCUCUGGAACGGUACUGACGCUGAGACGCGAAAGCUAGGGGAGCAAACGGG